AUUUGACCACUUGGCGUGACUG
rnacentral:miRNA from 1 species